rnacentral:rRNA from 1 species
GUGGGGAAUCUUAGACAAUGGGGGAAACCCUGAUCUAGCCAUGCCGCGUGAGCGAUGAAGGCCUUAGGGUUGUAAAGCUCUUUCAGCUGGGAAGAUAAUGACGGUACCAGCAGAAGAAGCCCCGGCUAACUCCGUGCCAGCAGCCGCGGUAAUACGGAGGGGGAUAGCGUUGUUCGGAAUUACUGGGCGUAAAGCGCACGUAGGCGGAUCAGAAAGUCAGAGGUGAAAUCCCAGGGCUCAACCUUGGAACUGCCUUUGAAACUCCUGGUCUUGAGGUCGAGAGAGGUGAGUGGAAUUCCGAGUGUAGAGGUGAAAUUCGUAGAUAUUCGGAGGAACACCAGUGGCGAAGGCGGCUCACUGGCUCGAUACUGACGCUGAGGUGCGAAAGCGUGGGGAGCAAACAGGAUUAGAUACCCUAGUAGUCC